rnacentral:rRNA from 1 species
AAAGGUGAAAAGCACCCCGACAAGGGGAGUGAAAUAGUACCUGAAACUGGAUGCCUACAAACAGUGGGAGGCCGCAAGGCUGACCGCGUACCUUUUGUAUAAUGGGUCAACGACUUAGUGUAGCAAGCAAGCUUAAGCCGAUAGGUGUAGGCGCAGCGAAAGCGAGUCUUAAUAGGGCGAAUAGUUUGUUGCAUUAGACCCGAAACCAAGUGAUCUAGCCAUGAGCAGGUUGAAGGUUGAGUAACAUCAACUGGAGGACCGAACCCACUAACGUUGAAAAGUUAGGGGAUGACCUGUGGCUGGGGGUGAAAGGCCAAUCAAACCGGGAGAUAGCUGGUUCUCCCCGAAAGCUAUUUAGGUAGCGCCUCGGACGAAUACCAUUGGGGGUAGAGCACUGUUUGGGCUAGGGGGUCAUCCCGACUUACCAACCCUUUGCAAACUCCGAA